AAGACAGCCUGUCUUGGGCAUAGCUAAAACCAGUUCAUACUAUAUAUCUUACUCUGUUCUGUGCUGCUGUGCCAGAAGACCAUGAACAAGGUCAUUUAUAAACAACAGAAGUUCAUCUGAGGCUGGGAAUCUCAAGAUGGAGGGGCCACAUUUGGAAACAGCUGCACAUUUGGGCAGAGGGACAUAGAAAGCAUUGGUAGAUAGUCACGUUGCCACCACAGAUGUCCCUGCCUUGGCUGGGGACAGAAGACAGCAGCCAAUAUUCACAGAGGACUGCAGAUGUUCUCCUUUAACUUGGAUCAGAAGGGCUAUUAUGGACAACACAAUGUGUCCCAAACAAUAACAUGAUUCUACGGUGCUGUCCUGAGCAGCAUCAGCAGGGGAAACCAAGACACCUCCUCAGCUGUCUGUGGACCUCAAGAGGGUUUGUUCUCAUGGAUACACGGUUACCCUAGGCACUUAGCUCUAGGGCAGGUGAUCCUGACUGAGGAAGGAGAAAGAACACCGAGGGAGGGGCAUGAGAGGAGGAAAAAAACCAAUGUAAGGAGAAAUUCAACCCAGAGAUGAGCAGAGAAGUGGUGAAGAGAAGGAGUUCCAAAGCUGGUGUUUAAAACAUCCAACAAUGAGACACAGAAGAAGAAGGAAAAGGAGAAGACGGAGAAGAAGAAGAAGAAGAAGAAUCCUUAUUCUGUGACUUUGAAGAUAAAAGGAAAAAAAUUUGGAUUUCUGAUAUUUAUGGUUACUUGUCAAUUGUGUAGUGCUAAUUUAUCCCAUAGGGUAGGGUGGAGGAUAGUCUUACAUUUGUAUCUUGAGAAGUGUCAGUUCAUAGUUUGGUGUGUUUUAAACUUGAUGCCUUAAAAGCUUGAGUUGGAUCUCUUUUAGUUUAACAUCUUCACCAAGUAGGGUGAUCAACUUGCCCUGGUUUGCUUGGGCUUUUCUGGAGUUUAGCACUGAAAGUCCUGCAGCCCAAGAAAGACCUCAGUCCUCAGCAAACAAGGAUGAUCAGUCACGCUACCAUAAACACAAGACUAUUCUACACACACAACACAUAUUCUCUCUUUCCUGCUGUGCAUCUUGCCUUCUAUGCACCCAAUAUGUUUGUAAGGGUGUGUGUGCGCGCAUACACACACACACACACACACACUCACAACCCAAGUAUGUGGAAUCUGAACUAAACCAAGAGAAACUAUUUGUAAUCAAUUGUUCUUUUGCUUUUUAAAUGAAAUAAACUACAUCGUUUCAAACUCCUGGACUCAAGCAAUCCUGCCUCAGCCUCCUGAAGUAGCUGGGACUAAAGGCACAUACCACCACACCCAACUGUAAUCAGGUCUUUAAAGUCUUGCUUUUAAGCAUAUGGCAA